CCUUGAAAUACCACCCUUUAAUGUUUGAUGUUCUAACGUGGACCCGUAAUCCGGGUUGCGGACAGUGUCUGGUGGGUAGUUUGACUGGGGCGGUCUCCUCCUAAAGAGUAACGGAGGAGCACGAAGGUUGGCUAAUCCUGGUCGGACAUCAGGAGGUUAGUGCAAUGGCAUAAGCCAGCUUGACUGCGAGCGUGACGGCGCGAGCAGGUGCGAAAGCAGGUCAUAGUGAUCCGGUGGUUCUGAAUGGAAGGGCCAUCGCUCAACGGAUAAAAGGUACUCCGGGGAUAACAGGCUGAUACCGCCCAAGAGUUCAUAUCGACGGCGGUGUUUGGCACCUCGAUGUCGGCUCAUCACAUCCUGGGGCUGAAGUAGGUCCCAAGGGUAUGGCUGUUCGCCAUUUAAAGUGGUACGCGAGCUGGGUUUAGAACGUCGUGAGACAGUUCGGUCCCUAUCUGCCGUGGGCGCUGGAGAAUUGAGGGGGGCUGCUCCUAGUACGAGAGGACCGGAGUGGACGCAUCACUGGUGUUCGGGUUGUCAUGCCAAUGGCACUGCCCGGUAGCUAAAUGCGGAAGAGAUAAGUGCUGAAAGCAUCUAAGCACGAAACUUGCCCCGAGAUGAGUUCUCCCUGACUCCUUGAGAGUCCUGAAGGAACGUUGAAGACGACGACGUUGAUAGGCCGGGUGUGUAAGCGCAGCGAUGCGUUGAGCUAACCGGUACUAAUGAACCGUGAGGCUUAACCUU
rnacentral:rRNA from 1 species